UUCACCCCCCCUUGGGAAGAGGAGAGAACGUGAUGGGGUGUGGUGUCCUCAGGAGGUAAGCUUAGUUUGUCAGGCCAUGAAUUAACAAAUCUGUGUUUUUCCCUUGCAGAGCCAUGAAUGAGAUGGAAUCCGACACGCCCUGAUUCCACUGCAACCAAAACUUCUUCAUUGCUCCACACCAAGGGAAAUUUUCACUGCACAAAGCAACCAACUUUAACUGAAUAAAAUUGCACUACUUUUCUUCAAUCCUUGUUUCAGGAAUCACAUUUCACAGACAUUUCAGUCUUCUUCAUUUCCUCCACCACCUCAGCCAGCAUGUUGUUCCUGCGUAAAGAAGGCCUUGGACUGAACGUCUCUCUACACUGGGGGCAGCUGUACACACUCCUCUGAUCUUCUUUAUCCCAGAAGCCAUUAAUACACACCUUACAGAAAUUGUGGCCACAGGGAGUGGUCACUGGAUCCUUCAGGAUAUCCAGACACACUGGACAGCUGAACUGAUCCUGAUCUGUGAAAAUACCAGCCUCAGCCAUUUUCUGCCCAGCACACCAAGGACGCGGCCCAUCCAGGUUUCGUUCGUUCCGGCGCUGGGUAUCAUGCAGUCUGGAGGAAGCAGCAGCGAAAGACAUGAGCCAAGCCCUGGGUGAGAACCUCUUCCCCUCUGCCACCACCCGUUUUCAAGAUCUUGACCCGCAACCGCUUCGAUCCCCUUUGCAAGACGUAGUGUGACAUGUUGAUCAUCCGGUAGGCUAAGGUAAGGUGCACACUCACUGUCUUCCUGGUGCUCGUGCUCUUGAUGUCGCUGCACAGGUACCCGCGAUCCUGAACAAGAACAUCGGAGCUGUGGUUCUCCAUGCUGGCAUGAACGACAUCAGGCUGAGGCAGACAGAGAUCCUGAAGAAGGACUUCAGGAGCCUGGUGGAGAAGACACGCACCACAUCGCCCAUGACGAGGAUCAUCGUGUCAGGACCACUUCCCAUGUUCCAGCGAGGAAUCGAGAGGUUCAGUAGGCUAUUUGCUUUUAAUGAAUGGUUACAGUCAUGGUGUCAAGACCAGAAAUUACCCUUUGUUGAUAAUUGGAAUAUUUCCGGGGAGCAUCCUAGGCUCUACCGUUCUGAUGGCCUGCAAUCAAGCAGAGUUGGAGCAGCAGUCCUCUUGGACAACAUCUCCAGGUCACUACGCACCAUCUGACUGAUGUGAGAGAGAUUUCCUCACUCCAUCAAAUGAGAGAUGUUGAUUGACAGUGAAGCUGGGUGAGUCUUCACAUCCAGGAGAGACACAGAGAGACGGGAAACUCUACAGAAAGGAAACACAUCAUAGAGAAGGGGAAAAGUGUAGGAGAGGAACGAAUGAAUCUCAGACUGAAUCAGACCAAAGACACACUUGUGAUCUCAGACAGGGUGAAAGCUCCUCCAGCUCAGUGACUCUCCUCUUAAGAUCAGCAAUCUCCUGCUCCAGUUGAUUCAGGAGUCGUUCAGCUCGACUCACUUCAGCUUUCUCCUGAGCUCUGAUCAGCUCCUUCACCUCCGAGCGCUUUUUCUCCACAGAGCUGAUCAGCUCAGUAAAGAUCCUCUCACUGUCAUCUACUGCUGCCUGUGAACGUAUCUGUUAGAACACACACACACACACAUUCAUUUAAAGAUAAGCUCUUACAGUGACUCUAUAAUUUGUGUUUAGGUAAAUCUCUCAGUUUCUUCCUCACCUUAAUAAUGUCCACAGUCUGUUUCAGCUCCUGCACCACCUUCUGCUUCUCCUGGAUCAGCUGCUGGGAUUUCAUCUGCUCCUCCUUUAACUCAUUCUGAGAUCAAAUGAAACACAUUUCAUUAUUUUUGUAUCAGGUUAUAACUGCAGCUAGAUAUAAUAUAACAUAACAUAAUACAAACUAAACAAAACUGUGACAUUACCCAUUAAGUUGUAAGUUUACAUGUAAAACUGAAUCAGAAUCACUUUAUUUAUCUAGAGCAUUCACCAAUAUACAGAAUACACAAUGUGCACAAGAUCACCACACACACACACAAACACACACUCAUACAAGUACGUGUGGCCGAUCUGUGGCUUUUUUCUUUUUUCUGUGUUUUUUUUAACACUGUUCUAGCACUUCCUCAGACAUGUCUACUGUAUUUUAUACAAAUAAUGUUGGGUGUUGGCUGGGUGGUUAACCGGAUUAACCGGAUUAACCCUUCUAACCAGCAACCAUUAAACGUUUUCAUUUUACUGUCUAUGACAAUCACGUGAGAUUAAUUAAAUCAGCUAAAACAAAUAAAUUAUAUUUAAAUUAUUCAGAUUAGAUUAAUAAAUUAAUCUAAAUUAUAUUAAAAAAAUAGAAUUUGUAGAAACUGACUUAUAUUGCCUCACCUGUUUUUCAGUUCUUUCCACUUUAGCUGCAACAGUAUCAUGACCUUUGUGUUUAUCCAUCGUACACAAGUAACAGAUGAAGCUUUGGUCAGUAUGACAGUAGAUCUCCUUCAGUUUGUCAUUUCAUUUCAUUUCAUUGCCUAUCUCAGGAGUCAUCGGGCAUCAAGGCAGGAUGCCAACCCAUCACAGGGCACACACAAAAUCCGGGCAAUUUAGAGACUCCAAUCAGCCAAGAAGCAUGUCUUUGGACUGUGGGAGGAAACCGGAGCACCCAGAGGAAACCCACCAAGCACGGGGUGAACAUGCACGCUCCACACACACAGUGAGCGGGAGCAAGACUCAAACCCAGGACGUGUGAGCUGAACGUGUUAACCACUAAGCCACCGUGCCACCUUCAGUUUCUCAUGUUCAGAGCAGAUCUUCUCUUGGAGCUCUGCACAGGCUUCAACUAACUUGUGCUUCUUAAAGGCAGGAGACUGAUAGUGAGGUUGAAGAUGAUCUUCACAAUAAGAGGCCAAACAAACCAAACAUGUACUGAGAGCUUUGCGUUUUCUGCGAAUGCAGGAAUCACAAUCCACAUCAGGUUCAGUCUUCAUUUCCUCCACCACCUCAGCCAGCUGUUAUUCCUGCGUAAAGCAGGCCUUGGAGUAAAAGUCUCUCUACACUGGGGGCAGCUGUACACACUCCUCUGAUCUUCUUUGUCCCAGCAGCCAUUAAUACACACCUUACAGAAAUUGUGGCCACAGGGAGUAGUCACUGGAUCCUUCAGGAUAUCCAGACACACUGGACAGCUGAACUGAUCCUGAUCUGUGGAAAUACCAGCCUCAGCCAUUUUCUGUGAGUCUUACUCUGAGAAAGCAAGAGUGAAUGAGACAGAGGGGGAGAGAGAGUGGAAGGGAGGGAGGAAAGGAAUGUCGGAUGGAGGUACAAAGGGAGGGGCAGAAGGCAAGCCACUUUGAGUUUCUUAUGUUUCGUUUCCUUGGAAAUGAGCUUUCUGGUUUUGUUUGUGGUGUAGAGUGAGAGAGAUAGUGGGUGUGGCUUUAAACACAGUUCAGGUGUAUAGAAUUUUUAUAGUGUAAAUGAGCUUACAGGUGGACUGAAUAUUGAUUUCCUAUAAAUAUCUGUUUCAUGAUAACAUAUUGCAUAUUUGAAUGUGUUUAUAUCAUCACUGGAAUGUUUCUGUAAGUAAAUCUGAAACAAAUUUAUUAACAAAAACAAAUUACAAAAGUACAAAAGUAA